CCUACGGGUGGCAGCAGUGAGGAAUAUUGGUCAAUGGCCGGAAGGCUGAACCAGCCAUGCCGCGUGAAGGUCAGUGCCCUAUGGGCGUUAAACUUCUUUUGUGCGGGAGCAAUAAUGGUCACGUGUGGCCAGACGAGAGUACCGUACGCAUAAGCAUCGGCUAACUCCGUGCCAGCAGCCGCGGUAAUACGGGGGAUGCAAGCGUUAUCCGGAGUUAUUGGGUUUAAAGGGUGCGUCUGCUGGGAUGUAAGUCAGCGGUGAAAUGCCCCCGCUCGACGGGGUGAAGUGCCAUUGAUACUGGCGUGCUGGAAUGCGGAUGCCGUGGGAGGAAUGUGUGGUGUAGCGGUGAAAGGCAUAGAUAUCACACAGAACACCGAUUGCGAAGGCAUCUCACGAAUCCGCGAUUGACGCUGAUGCACGAAAGCGUGGGUAUCAAACAGGAUUAGAUACCCCAGUAGUC
rnacentral:rRNA from 1 species